rnacentral:tRNA from 1 species
UGCCCCAUGGCUGAGUUGGUUACAGCGUCCGACUGUUAACGGUCAAUCGGAAGGUCGAGAGUUCGAGCCUCUCUGGGGCAG